GAUGAACGCUGGCGGCGUGCCUAAUACAUGCAAGUCGAGCGAAAAGACGAGGAGCUUGUUCCUCUCACGUUUGCGGCGGACGUGUGAGUAACACGUGUAUAACCUACCUAUCAGACUGGGAUAUCUUCGGGACUCCGGCUCUAAUACCGUAUAAUAUAUUGAACCGCAUUGGUCAUUAGUGAAAUACGGUUUUGCUGUCACUUAUAGAUGGAUCCGCGCCGCAUUAGCUAGUUGGGAAGGUAACGGCUUACCAAGGCAACGAUGCGUAGCCGACCUGAGAGGGUGGUCGGCCACACUGGAACUGAGACACGGACAAUACUCCUACGGGAGGCAGCAGAAGGGAAUCGUCCGCAAUGGGCGGAAGCUUGACGGAGCAACGCCGAGUCAGUGAUGAAGGUCUUCGGAUCGUAAAACUCUGUUAUUAGGGAAGAACAAAUGUGUAAGUAACUAUGCACGUCUUGACGGUACCUAAUCAGAAAGCCACGGCUAACUACGUG
rnacentral:rRNA from 1 species